GAUGAACGCUGACAGAAUGCUUAACACAUGCAAGUCUACUUGAAUUUGGGUUUUUUCACUUAGAUUUGGGUGGCGGACGGGUGAGUAACGCGUAAAGAACUUGCCUCACAGCUAGGGACAACAUUUGGAAACGAAUGCUAAUACCUGAUAUUAUGAUUAUAAGGCAUCUUAGAAUUAUGAAAGCUAUAUGCGCUGUGAGAGAGCUUUGCGUCCCAUUAGCUAGUUGGAGAGGUAACGGCUCACCAAGGCGAUGAUGGGUAGCCGGCCUGAGAGGGUGAACGGCCACAAGGGGACUGAGACACGGCCCUUACUCCUACGGGAGGCAGCAGUGGGGAAUAUUGGACAAUGGACCAAGAGUCUGAUCCAGCAAUUCUGUGUGCACGAUGACGUUUUUCGGAAUGUAAAGUGCUUUCAGUUGGGAAGAAAAAAAUGACGGUACCAACAGAAGAAGUGACGGCUAAAUACGCG
rnacentral:rRNA from 1 species